rnacentral:snoRNA from 1 species
AGGACUAUACUUUCAGGAAUCAUUUCUAUAGGUUUUGUUGUGUGAAAUGUGCUUAAUAGUGUCCAAACUCACUUGCAAUGAUGAUGUGUUUGAGUGUUCUUUUCUAUCGUGAAAAGCAGUAACAGUUUUGUUGUGUGGUGGAUGUUGCCUGUUACUGAUGAGUUUCCUGUUCUUUUUCCGAGGAAGAGAACUCAAUCUGAGUGGU